rnacentral:rRNA from 1 species
CAGUCGCCACGGGAAUACGUAGGGUGCAAGCGUUAAUCGGAAUUACUGGGCGUAAAGCGUGCGCAGGCGGUUCUAUAAGACAGAUGUGAAAUCCCCGGGCUCAACCUGGGAACUGCAUUUGUGACUGUAGAGCUGGAGUGCGGCAGAGGGGGAUGGAAUUCCGCGUGUAGCAGUGAAAUGCGUAGAUAUGCGGAGAAACACCGAUGGCGAAGGCAAUCCCCUGGGCCUGCACUGACGCUCAUGCACGAAAGCGUGGGGAGCAAACAGGAUUAGAUACCCGCGUAGUCCCUGUCUCUUAUAC